AAUCAACGCUGGCGGCGUGCCUCAGACAUGCAAGUCGAACGAUUAAAGCUCUCUUCGGAGAGUGCAUAGAGUGGCGCACGGGUGAGUAACACGUAAGUAAUCUACCUUCGAGUGGGGAAUAACGUCCGGAAACGGACGCUAAUACCGCAUAAUGCAGCGGCAUCGCAAGAUGACAGUUGUUAAAGGAGCAAUUCGCUUGAAGAGGAGCUUGCGGCAGAUUAGCUAGUUGGUAAGGUAAUGGCUUACCAAGGCUACGAUCUGUAACCGGUCUAAGAGGACGGUCGGUCACACUGACACUGAAUAACGGGUCAGACUCCUACGGGAGGCAGCAGUCGGGAAUUUUGGGUC
rnacentral:rRNA from 1 species